AAGCAGCGGUAUCAGCACAGAGUGCUGGACAGACCACAGAUUAGUCAGGACGUCUCUCCAACUUCACA